rnacentral:misc_RNA from 1 species
CUCCCGAUCUCUCCCAUUCUAGAAUCUUCUCUUCUAUCUGAGCUGGUUUAGUCAAAGCAUUUAUUCUUUCGGUUACCGAGGCAUCCGCUUCGUUUUCCGCUAGCAAUAAAUGCUCAGACCUUUCUCUAUAUAUAUACCUUCAACGGGAUAUCCUUUUUGCAUUUUAUUUUCUCCUCUUUCUGCUCCUCGCUUUUCCUAUUCUAACCGCUCCGGCAACAAUCCCGGCUGUGGCAGCUGCUUUUGAUCUUUUUUCGAUUGUUCACUUUGUUCAUCGACUGAAAAUUUACGACCUCGGUGAUCAGAAAAUCACGAUGGCUACCUCUGAUGACAGUGAGAGAACCGAACUAAUUUACCGAUCUAGAUCGAGAAUAUCGAUCGUGUUCAUCUCGAGUCGGUCGACCGAUAUAAUCGGCG